ACGCUCGACACCUACGGGGNGGAGCAGUGGGGAAUAUUGCACAAUGGGGGAAACCCGUGAUGCAGCGACGCCGCGUGAGCGAAGAAGUAUUUCGGUAUGUAAAGCUCUAUCAGCAGGGAAGAUAAUGACGGUACCUGACUAAGAAGCUCCGGCUAAAUACGUGCCAGUAGCCGCCGGUAAUCUGAGGCGGGCGUGGCGAAGGC
rnacentral:rRNA from 1 species